rnacentral:rRNA from 1 species
CUUACAAUGAAAAUAACCUUAGGGCUUUCUUAUAAUGUAAAUUAAGGGCAAGGAGAAAGAAAAUAUGUUAGUUGUACCUUUUGUAUCAGGGGAGUUUAAAAUUGUAAUAAUAUUUUAAUCGAUUAAAGCGGAUCUUUUUAUUAAAUUUUUAGUUGGAUUUAAAGAUUGUAAAGAAUUAAGAGGUGAAAAGUGUACGGCGCUUAGGGUAUCUAGUUGUUUUAUGUAUAAAUGGUUAAGCUUUUAUAGAUCUAAAAUAAUAGUAAGGUGUUAAGAGCUAGGCUUUAGAUUAGCUACGUUGGUAAAUUGUUUUAAGUAAUUUAUUUAGAUUUUUUAGGUUAGAGUGUAUAGACAAUGCUUAAAUAUUUAGAUAAGCAGCAGUAAUGAAUUUAUUGAAUAAUAAAAGAAGAUUGAAAAUAACUCAAGUAUGUUAGAAAGUUUAGCAAAAACAUUUCUAUUUGUAAAAAUAAAAGUAAAACCUGCCCGGUGCUGAGUUAACGGCUGCGGUAUUUUGACCGUGCUAAGGUAGCAUAAUCAUUUGCUUUUUAAUUGGUAGCUGGA